rnacentral:lncRNA from 1 species
CUUUGCUUUUUGGAGCUGGUCAACGGAACGAGCCAAGAGGGAAAUACGCGCUCCCUCCGAUGCAGCUUGUUUGGCUAUGGCUAGCCCGAUGCCCAUUGAACCGCCUGUUAUGAAAACGUGUCGGUUUUUAAUAGGUAUGUUAAUGGGCCGGGGCCGAACGAUGAAGUAGAGGAGGAGGAGAAGGAUUGGUAGGAGGAGAAGACCGAAGAGCACCAUUGAAGUUUAAUUUGUUUUAGGGAGAGAAAUAAUUAAGGUUAAGCAAGCAUCUCUCUCCAUAUGGGGUCUAACAUUAUUUACCCCUUCUAUUCGGGAAUAAUACGCAAGUUUUAAGCAUAAAUCUGAAUGUACAGACCCAUUUUGCCCUAGCCCAAACUCCCAAUACCCAAAACUAUAAUAUUUCGGCUAGAGAGUUUUUUCUUUGUAUGAACACCUAUAUAAAUCAAGGGCAAAAAUAGAUUAAAAAAAAAAACAAAUAGAUCCAGUCCAAGGUGAAUUUCAGUUUAUAUUUCUUUUUCUUUUAUUUACUUUUAUCUUUAUUUUAUUUUUUUUCCUCUCUAAAAAUAGUUCAUAUCAGCCAUUAAUGUAAUUGAAACUGUGUUAUUGAAUCAAAUACUUUUUCUAGAGUAUUUACUCAAAUACCUUGUGUGUAUUUCUUGUGACUUUUCUAUAAGCGAAUUUGAAAUUAAGUUUUCACUUAAGGAAGCGCGGCUUACAAAAACUAAAGUUCUAACCUCAUGAAACUAGCUUGAUAAAAUUCUCAUCAGAAAGAACUAGCAGAUCAACGCGUUUGAAUUUCUCAUUAUCCUUUCUCCCUUAUUUAUCACUACCGCCCUUGUUCUCUCUUUUCCCCUUUAAAAAAAAUGCAGUACUUUUAUUUUUUCUCUAUUUUUCUUUUUGAGUGUUACUUUUACUUUUCUGAACGUCUAAAAUGUAAAAAUAUGUGUCAAUGUGUCGCCAUUUUAUUAAAAAGAAAAGAAAAAAAAUUGAAUUUUCUGGCGUAUAAUAGAAUUUAUGGCCGAACAAAUAAUUACUCUCAAAAUUACUUAUUAGAAUAAUCUUUUUUACCAUGAAAAUCCAACUCUAAUUACUUUUUUAACAUGGAUCUCUAAUCUAGUUUUGCAAUUGAAACCAUCUGAAAGUAAUUAUAACAUAUACAUACACAUAGACAUAUAUAAACCAAAAAUGCACACUUUUUAAUUUAAUUUUUAUGUCUUUGUUUUAACCAGAGUAAGGUUGCUUCUACUGAUUAACAAUAGCGAGACGUUCAUCUAAAAUUUAUUCCACUUGCUGUUUUUUAUGCGAGUAGUUGUAUUUUUCUAUAAUCUCAUAGCCUCUCCAUUGCAAAAGCAGAGCUACAAAGCGAAAUAGACCUGCAAAAACCACUUCAAUAGAUGCCAUGAGGAAAGAUGUCUGAGGGGAUAAACCAGCUGUAGCUAUUGCCACUGCUCGUCCAUCAAGCCUGCACGGUAUGCUAAAACUUCCUGAUUUAAUGCCUUGUAUUGUUAUCUUCCCAACUUCUUCAGCUUUCAUUCCAGGAGAUGACUCCAAUAUGAUCUUGGUGAUUUCCGGCAUUCUCUCCCUUGCUUCAAAUGUUAGUACAGAAAUGAACUCCACUUUAUAACUUCAUAACAGUAAAAUCUUGUCGAUAUACACAGUUAUGGUGGGGCAAAUGCAAACAAAUUAAAAGUUAAUCUAUGAUUUGAAAGAAAAUAAAAAUAUAUUCCAAACCUUGUUCAAUACCCGAAGUUUCAGUAACGGGAGGGAAAAUGAUAGAGAGAUGAAUGUUGUUCACCAAAAGUUCCUGUUGCAAUGCCUCUGCUAGUCCUCUGAGCCCAAAUUUGGUUGCUGAGUAAGCCGCAAAACCAUAUAUACCCGCCUAUAUUUAUUAAAUAUUGUACGUCAUGAGUAUAAGAAUCAUACAAGACUAAUAUCUCAUUUGGUUUAUAUUAAACCUGGCCGGCCAUUGAAGACAUAAGAGCAAUGGAGGCAGGUCCCUUGUCCUUUCUAUCCUUCAUUAACGGCAAAGCUGCUUUGAUGACAUUGAAGCUUCCCAUCAGAUUCACGUCUAUCAUCGUCUUCAUCACAUCUAGUCCUUGGGUCUCAAACUCCUCAAGGUAAUACACCCCAUGGUUAACUACUAGAACAUCGAUAGGGCCAGCCUCUUUUAUCGCACGCUCAACGGCAUCGUAGUCACGAACAUCAGCACUAAAGAUCGAGACCUCGACUUCAUAGGCUUGACAGAUUGAUUCCUUUGCUUUUUGGAGCCGGUCAACGGAGCGAGCCAAGAGGGAAAUACGCGCUCCCUCCGAUGCAGCUUGUUUGGCUAUGGCUAGCCCGAUGCCCAUUGAACCGCCUGUUAUGAAAACGUGUCGGUUUUUAAUAGGUAUGUUAAUGGGCCGCGGCCGAACGAUGAAGUAGAGGAGGAGGAGAAGGAUUGGUAGGAGGAGAAGACCGAAGAGCACCAUUGAAGUUUAAUUUGUUUUAGGGAGAGAAAUAAUUAAGGUUAAGCAAGCAUCUCUCUCCAUAUGGGGUCUAACAUUAUUUACCGCUUUUUCCUUGAAUUCGGGAAUAAUCCUCAAGUUUUGAGCAUAAAUCUGAAAGCUGGUGUUGUUG